rnacentral:rRNA from 1 species
AGAGCGAACGCUGGCGGCAGGCCUAAUACAUGCAAGUCGAACGGAUCCUUCGGGAUUAGUGGCGGACGGGUGAGUAACACGUGGGAACGUACCCUUUGGUUCGGAACAACUCAGGGAAACUUGAGCUAAUACCGAAUGUGCCCUUCGGGGGAAAGAUUUAUCGCCAUUGGAGCGGCCCGCGUCUGAUUAGCUAGUUGGUAGGGUAAAGGCCUACCAAGGCUACGAUCAGUAGCUGGUCUGAGAGGAUGAUCAGCCACACUGGGGCUGAGACACGGCCCAGACUCCUACGGGAGGCAGCAGUGGGGAAUUUUCGCAAUGGCGAAAGCCUGACGGAGCAAGACCGCGUGGGGGAAGAAGGCUCUUGGUUGUAAACCCCUUUCUCUGGGAAGAACGCAAUGACGGUACCAGAGGAAUCAGCAUCGGCUAACUCCGUGCCAGCAGCCGC